AACAUAAUAGAGGUUAAUUAAUAUGGGUCAAGAAAUAUUGCUUAUUUAAGAAAGAAUUGAAGAAAUAAGCAUCAAAGCAACACAUGUGUUUAUUUCAAUUAAUUCGAGGUAAUGGGGUUUCCAAGGGAAGUAACUAUACUUUAAAAUAUGUUUUUGACAUCGUAAAUUAUGUAAAAUUCAUUUUUUUAUGUCUAAAUAAUUAUAUUGUUGUUAAUAGACAUACACAAGGAAUCUUAGUCCAUUAAAUAUACAAAUUAUGAUCGAUGUGGAUGAUUAUUAAAGUAAAUUUUACGUAAUUUCGCAUUUUUACUGUACUAUAUUAAUAAUACACAUACAGGGUGGUCAUAUAUAACGUAAAUAACCGCAUUUCGAAGCUAUUUGUACUUGAAAAUUCGAUUUUAUUGACAAAUACAUGAUUUAAAAACGUUUUUAGGUUUCCAAGGGAAGUAACUAUACUUUAAAAUAUGUUUUUGACAUCGUAAAUUAUGUAAAAUUCAUUUUUUUAUGUCUAAAUAAUUAUAUUGUUGUUAAUAGACAUACACAAGGAAUCUUAGUCAAUUAAAUAUACAAAUUAUGAUCGAUGUGGAUGAUUAUUAAAGUAAAUUUUACGUAA